rnacentral:rRNA from 1 species
CUACGUGCCAGCAGCCGCGGUAAUACGGAGGGUGCGAGCGUUAAUCGGAAUAACUGGGCGUAAAGGGCACGCAGGCGGUGACUUAAGUGAGGUGUGAAAGCCCCGGGCUUAACCUGGGAAUUGCAUUUCAUACUGGGUCGCUAGAGUACUUUAGGGAGGGGUAGAAUUCCACGUGUAGCGGUGAAAUGCGUAGAGAUGUGGAGGAAUACCGAAGGCGAAGGCAGCCCCUUGGGAAUGUACUGACGCUCAUGUGCGAAAGCGUGGGGAGCAAACAGGAUUAGAUACCCUGGUAGUCCACGCUGUAAACGAUGUCGAUUUGGGGGUUGAGCUUUGAGUUUGGCGCCCGUAGCUAACGUGAUAAAUCGACCGCCUGGGGAGUACGGCCGCAAGGUUAAAACUCAAAGAAAUUGACGGGGGCCCGCACAAGCGGCGGAGCAUGCGGAUUAAUUCGAUGCAACGCGAAGAACCUUACCAAGGCU